rnacentral:lncRNA from 1 species
CUGGCAUGGAUCUCUCUGUGUGGUUCAUGGGACUCGUGUGUUGUGCCCAGAAACCUCUUACACCAUGGUCAAAGAUUUCUCCAUGAAACACAGGAUUGACUUGGUGGUGUGUUCUCCAAAAGCCAACCCUCCCUGUCCUGAGCCCCAAUCUGGGCACUGGGAUCAGGACUAAUGUGUACACUCCAAGCAGAUGGGUAGUGAAGGAGCGGACUCAUAGUGCAUAGGGAAGUGGACUGGAACACUCCAGGACAUCCAUUCCCCGCUCAGAUCAUAGACCAUUAUCUGUGCAGUCAAUCAGACAAGGACUUGUACUGGAAAGGCCACCAUCACCCAAGGAGGAACCAGAGGAAGUCACAUCAGGAACACCUGGGGUGCCACAUAAACCCACAGUGGCCAAGGUGGACUUCUGUCCUUGUCUGUGUUUAUGAUAAUAGCCACAACAAAAGGACCUUUACCCAGUGGCUACUAUAUGUCAGGCACUGUACCAAGAACUCUACCCAUGAUAUCUUGUUAAUCCUCACAGCAACCUGUGGAAUUGGUGUUAUCAGCCCCCAAAACUGAGUUCCAGAGAGGGUAGAUGAGAACCUGCAAUCACACAGUAAGUGACAGUGCUGGAAUUUCAGCCUGAUUGUCCCAAAGCCUCUGUUCUUUUUACCCCACCAAACACACAAAUGCAGUUUCUUUUGUCAUUAGCCCAGUGCUUUUCCCUUGGAGUAGAUACAGUAGAUGCUGAUUUUUGCCUUCAUCAGCAAAAGUCUUUACCCCAGACACAUAACUGGAGAUCAGUCAUAGAACAGAGAGCACUAAUGUAGAAGGGCACAGGUCCCUUUGAUUACUGAACACUCAGGUCACUCGGAAGAGUGGAAGCCUCAUCAGAAACCUUCGGGUUUGACAGGACAUCUGUUUCCAGGAGCACGGUGGGUGUAAACAGAGCAGCUGCCAGCCUCUGUCCUGGUUGGGGUUUUGUGUUUGCUGGUUUUUCUUUUUUUUUUUUUUUAAACACAUUAUACUCUAUUAAAACCACCCCUAUUUGGCAUCAAAAGCAUUAAUAAAUCCCACAUAAGGCACAGUCCCUCCAGUGGUUAAUCAAUCCAUAAAAAUCUAUUUAGCACCUACUGUGUGUCCAGCAUUUCAAUCCCAUGACGUUGAUUAAAGCAGGAAGUAAGGAGUCACAGCUGCCAAAUUUUCACCAUGGCCACCGUGCUCUGUGAUGUGUCACAAAGGCAUUUGCCAAUCAUGCAAUCAACCAUUUACUGAGAACCUGCUUUGUUGCUCAACUCUGUGCUGGCGACUCUCAGGAAGACAGGGAAGGGCUACCUGGUUUCUGCCUGAGCAGCAAGUGAUGAAGGAGAGUGAGCGUAUGAGAGAGUAAGAGAGUGAGCCCAAUCGUGGACUGACCACACAAUUGACCCUGGUUUACUGUGAGAAAGGACACAGACUGUGAACACCAGGAGCUUGACUACAUUUCCCAGCGUCCUUUGGAGUGAGACUACAUCUCCCAGCAUCCUGGCAGUUAGACAAUUUUCUAGUCUCCUUUGCAGGGAUCUUGGAAGCCCCAUGUUGAAGGUGGCAGAGCAACAAAAAUUGAGGAAACCCUGAAUCCCUGAAUUACUAUUUGGAGAUGACCACCCACUAAUUCGGAACACUCAUUAUUGGGCUUUAGGAGAAUGAGAAGUUCUAUCAUGUUUGAGACUCCGUACAUCUUUGGAUUUGUUUUAACAGCUAGUUUUACCCUGGCUAACAUGGCAAUUGACAGCCUCUGAGAGGAGAUUUGGAGAAUCUGCUUUUUUAACAAGUACUCCAGGGGAGUUUGAGAAUCACUGCUGAAAGCCAAGGGGAGCCAGCCACCCAAGGAUUUAACGCUGACCAAGGAACACCACGCUAUUUGCAUUUUAGAAUGACAGCAAGGGAGCAGAACUCUGCCCCCUUCUUGUCUGCCAAGGAGAACAAUCUACUGACUCAAAAGAAAAAGAAAACUUUGGUAAGAGAAAAUUGAAGCUCUAGAUGAGUGAAAAGAUUCUAACAGCACCAAGCUGCCGUAAAUGAGCUCAAGUCUCCUGGCCAGGACAAAUUACACUCCAGGGAGUAGAGAGAACUCGCCUCUGAAGCUGUAAAGCCUCUGCUGAUAAUCUUUACAGAACAUGGAGACUGUGAAAGAAAUUGGAACGCUAGAAAUGGCAAAAUAUAGCUCUGAUUAGUAAAGAGGGGGAAAGCUUCUGCAAACUACAAAAGUGGGGCUAUCCUAUCCAUCCUCAUUAAAUUCCCUGAUCAGACUACUUAAGGCUGAGCUGUGAGUACGUGAAAAAUGGAGCAGAAUCCUCUAGAAGCCUGUGUGGGUUCUUUAAGAGCAAGCCACGACAAGGCAUUGGACCAGGAAGGAGAGAAAUGGGGCCUUUUCUGGCCAGGUGCUCUCACUGACUCCGGGUACAAGGAAGAAUACAAUAUGAUUCCUGUCCUCAAGUCCACAUGCCUGUGGAUACUAACCUUUACACAGACAACAUAAGAACUGAACAGGGUGGUAUUUAAUUAAGAUAAAAGAAGUAGCAAGAGUAACAAGUAAUAAGUGAGAAUAAGUAUUAAACUAUGUACUGACUUUGGGAGUACCCAGGCUCCAUUUUUAUGCCAAAUCUCUGGUGUUAAGGCAUAAAAGAUACUGUGUUUAGAACAUGUCCUGAAAGGGAACAUGUUCUAAAAAAAACACAAAACAGCAGAAAGGAUAACGUUCUGCUGCUGACUUGUGUUCAUUGUUCAACUUGUGGGCCACUAGGACUCUUGAAUCUUCUUUCUCCAUAUUUGCAUCUAAUUAGCAUUUGUGUAGUUGCUAUCUUUCCCUGAAAUGUUUCUUUCUCAACACUCAGUAUUGCCGUAACAAGAUGGGGAAACAGAGGAAAUAAUUUUUUUAAAUGUUCAAUUGAUUUCCUUUUUUAAAAAGACACCUUUAUUGAAUUAUUACAUAUCAUAAAAUUCAUCUGUUUUAUGUGUGCAACUCGAUGAAUUUUAGUAAAUUUACAGAGGUGUGCAGCCAUCACAACCAGCUUUAAAACAUUUCCAUUACCAGACAGAAUAAUUUAAGGGCACAAUCCAAUGAAUGUGGGCAUAUUUAACCUACUUGAGCAUGCAUUUCUGAAACUGUUGUACUUAAGAAAAUCUGUCAGCAAAUUUUGAGUUGCUUCAUGAUAUACUUUUGCAAGACAAAGCAAAAUGUGCAGAAGGAAGGAUCUGUGUGCCUGAAAUCCUAAGAAACCAUUAUCUAUUUUGCAGAUCACUUUAUUAAUAAACAGAUUAUUACAAAAGUAAUUAUCUUAGAGAUGACAAUGCCAUUAGCUAACCCAUGUUGUUGUCUAUUGGGACAUAUAAAAAGUCUUUUUAAUUUGCUCUUCAAAAAAUCACUUACACCCACAACACUACUUCAGUCAACAAAGUAAAUCUAGGUAUGGGAAAACCAUGGCAAAAACUUUUUGCCAUGCUUUACCUUUUUGUCUUUAAAAUUUAAUGUAUUCAUUUUCGUUCGGAUUCUCUUUUCUCUCUUGAUUCACUGGAGGAAGGAUUUCUCUGGUGAAAAGUACCCCAAUCUGAUGCCUUUGCAAAAGCAGUCACCCCUCUGGCAUGAAAGGCACCAUUCAAUCAUCCAAACUCUUAGAGGUGAAGGGUACACUGAAUAAUGAGUGCUAAGAUGGUGUCUAUUGUAUUAUAAAUACCCAUUUUAGAAAACCCAAUAGUCAGAAAGUU